rnacentral:lncRNA from 1 species
CUCUGUACUUAUACAUCCCGUCAUUGUGGAAUAUGACAGUUGUUAUCCAUUCGUUUGAUGUGCUUGAGCAGGUUUUGCCAUUUUAUUAGGGACUUUACGUUUUGAAUUGUCUUCGGAGUUCAGUAUUUUUGUGAUUUUCUAUUAAACUCUUGAAAUUCAUAAAUGAAAUGCGCUUGUAGCAAACAUAGGCACAAUGUUUUCAUCAGUAACAGCAUUGGUUGAACGUUUUAGAAGUAAUAAUAUGGAAGCAACAUAACGUGCUGUGAGAUUUUCUAUCCAGAACUAUUACUCCUGGACGGCAGAAGUAAAACACAUCAAUAUAGAGCUUGACCUCCAUUUAGUCGUCAGCAUUAAUAUAUAAUGAGUUUUAAAGCAUUGGUCAAGUAGUUCAUAGAUAGUCAAGUCCACGGAAAUCACAAACUGACCUUUUCCAAUAGAUCAAGGAUCACAACUCGUGAACGGCAACAAAGAAAAGCGUCGAAGUCGAAUUUGAUCAUCAUUUUGUCAUCAGCAACCGCAUUUCGGUUGAUG